rnacentral:rRNA from 1 species
UGACCGCGGCUGCUGGCACGGAGUUAGCCGAUGCUUAUUCCUGCACUACCGUCAAAUCACUACACGUAGUAACCAUUCUUGGUGCAGAAAAGAAGUUUACAACCCAUAGGGCAGUCUUCCUUCACGCGGGAUGGCUGGUUCAGGCUUGCGCCCAUUGACCAAUAUUCCUCACUGCUGCCUCCCGUAGGAGUCUGGUCCGUGUCUCAGUACCAGUGUGGGGGAUCAUCCUCUCAGAACCCCUAGACAUCGCAGCCUUGGUAAGCCGUUACCUUACCAACUAGCUAAUGUCACGCAUGCCCAUCUUUGACCGAUAAAAUCUUUAAUUUACAAACCAUGCGACUCGUAAAUACCAUGGGAUAUUAAUCCGGAUUUCUCCGGGCAAUCCCCCUGUCAAAGGCAGGUUGCAUACGCGUUACUCACCCGUGCGCCGGUCGUCAUCUGUAGCAAGCUACAAUGUUACCCCUCGACUUGCAUGUGUUAGGCCUCCCGCUAGCGUUCAUCCUGAGCCAUGAUCAAACUC